rnacentral:sRNA from 1 species
ACCACGUUCAAGCGUUGUUUAGUGUUGC